rnacentral:rRNA from 1 species
GGCAUUGAGUUUAUUCUUGCGGGAAUUUAGGAGCCAUCAGUGAGAUACCACUCUGGUAAUGUUAGAUUUCUAACUUUGUAUCAUGAUCUGGUCAAAGAACAGUUUCAGGCGGGCAGUUUGACUGGGGCGGUCGCCUCCCAAAUGGUAACGGAGGCGUACAAAGGUUUCCUCUGAACGUGUAGAAAUCGUAUCUAGAGUGUAAAGGCAUAGGGAAGCUUGACUGUGAGACCUACAAGUCGAGCAGGGACGAAAGUCGGUCUUAGUGAUCUGACGGUGCUGAGUGGAAAGGCCGUCACUCAACGGAUAAAAGUUACUCUAGGGAUAACAGGCUGA